UACGUAGGUGGCAAGCGUUGUCCAGAAUUAUUGGGCGUAAAGCGCGCGCAGGCGGUCCUUUAAGUCUGAUGUGAAAGCCCACGGCUCAACCGUGGAAGGUCAUUGGAAACUGGGGGACUUGAGUACAGAAGAGGAAAGCGGAAUUCCACGUGUAGCGGUGAAAUGCGUAGAGAUGUGGAGGAACACCAGUGGCGAAGGCGGCUUUCUGGUCUGUAACUGACGCUGAGGCGCGAAAGCGUGGGGAGCAAACAGG
rnacentral:rRNA from 1 species